AAGUACGACUGCCUUACUUGGAAGACUGGAGAAGUGGAAGAAGUGGAAGUGUCCGACAAAAAAACACAUCAUCUAGGUUAAUGUUUAACAUGAAUUAAAGACAGAAGCAUGACUGGUUUUACCUUUUUCAGGGUGAAUGUGACUUGGUGAGCCUCCUGCAGGUUAUGGUUGCCAUGUUUGGAGAGUGCCCUCCUGUGUGUAUGAAACCGGGGUUUGGACAAUCUUCCUGUAAGUGACACGUGUUGGAAUGUAUUAACACAAUAAUCGCUACAACAUGCCUGAUGAGCACCAGUUCUGCUCUAUUUUUACACCUCAUGGAUGUGUUGUUCAUGUUAGAUGAAAAACAUCUUUCUUUUGUAGGUUGGCAGCAUUACAGACGAGAUGAGGGCUUUUGUCUGCUUUUAGCCAAAGAUGAUGGUCAACCUUUCCAAAAUGAAACCAACUGUUAACUCUCAGUUAUUUCUGCAAAUAUCUAUCCUAUUGUAAAUAAACAUUAAUAUAAAGGUUUGUGUAGUUUUAGCCUCCUCUGACCCAAACUUGAAUUUGGUGUUAUUUCAAAGAGAAAAACAUGUCUAGCUAUUAUAGAUUAGUUGACUGUAAUUUACAGCAACAAUAUUAUAAAAUUUCUAUAAAAAUGUUGUAAAAUAUUCUAAAUACAGAAAUGCUACCAAAACAUUAAUAAGUACAAUUUAAGUCAAUAUCAAGUGUCUAUAAAUUAUGACAUAAAGGUCUAAGUAGAAGAGAAUACAUUUUUAGAGUGCAAUGAGUCAAUGUCCACAUCGUGAACAUGGGGGAGAUCCUCCGAAUGGCUGGAUGCACUUAUGAGAACGUUGUUAAAACCACCGUGCUUCUCGCUGACAUCAAUGAUUUCUCAAAUGUCAAUGAAGUUUACAAGCAGUGUGAGUGUGUUGGCUUCCCCUCUAUAGAUAAGAGCUGUUGUACAACCCUGACCGCUGCGUGUCAGCACAAACUAGCUAUACCACAAGUCCCAUUUAUUUAGCAUAAGGAGCCUUUAGAUCUGCCCGCUUUGCCCAUCUUUCCUUAGUUUACUCCAUAUAUGUUUUUAUAUUCCCUACUUCUAAAUAAAGUGAUGUUCUGUCUGGAAGAGUUUUUAUGGCUCCAUGCUGAUGUGAGGAGAGAUCACCACAUGUUGCAUAAGCCAGUUAAACACCGAAACCAGAGAUGAUUCAGUGUUACUGUAGGGUUAAUGACCUAAACAUAGGAAUUAAAGGCUGUUGCUAUCAGCUUAUAUUUUAAUUCCUAAGAUCAAACAAAUUGACGAAUGAGAUUAUAUAUGGAUAUAUAAAUAUAAUACAAUACCAUACCAUACCAUCUUUAUUUAUAAAGCACAUUUAAAAACGGCAUGACCAAAGUGCUGUACAGUAUAAAAAGUAAAAACACAAUAUAAAAGAAUACACAGUCAACAAUAAAAUGCACAANUUAUUUUCUGCAGUCACUGAUAAUUUAUCUUUAAUCCCUUAUUUUUCCACUGAUGAUGCAAGGGUGGGUCGUACGAGACCCUAGAGGGCGUGCUUGGAUGAGCUUCAUCCACACUUGACUUCUCAUAUGAAGAUUUUCCAUCUUCGUACUCACCUGAACUUACCUUUGAAACCAGAGAUGAUUCAAUGUUACUGUAGGGUUAAUGACCUAAACAUAGGAAUUAAAGGCUGUCGCUAUCAGCUUAUAUUUUAAUUUCUAAAAUCAAACAAAUUGACGAAUGAGAUUAUAUAUGGAUAUAUAAAUAUAAUAGAUAUAAAUUUAUACACCAACUUGCUUGGUCUAUGUUUAAUCAAAAGUUUAUUAUAUUUAUUUUUAAAGAUUUAAUUUAAUAGCAAAGAUUAUUUGUUAAUUCAGAAGAUCUAAAGAUCUUUGCCUGUUCAGUGAUCAAUGUACACCCACUCUGUGUUUAUUUCAAGAAAGAGUCAAGUUUAAGAAGGUUAA
rnacentral:lncRNA from 1 species